GGCAGCAUGGUGUAGUGGUUUGCGUCUUGGACUGUGAUUCUGGAGACUGGGUUUCGAAUCCCUGCUCAGCCA